rnacentral:rRNA from 1 species
GUGGGGAAUUUUGGACAAUGGGCGCAAGCCUGAUCCAGCCAUUCCGCGUGCAGGAUGAAGGCCUUCGGGUUGUAAACUGCUUUUGUACGGAACGAAAAGCCUCUGGUUAAUACCCGGGGGUCAUGACGGUACCGUAAGAAUAAGCACCGGCUAACUACGUGCCAGCAGCCGCGGUAAUACGUAGGGUGCGAGCGUUAAUCGGAAUUACUGGGCGUAAAGCGUGCGCAGGCGGUGCUGUAAGACAGGCGUGAAAUCCCCGGGCUCAACCUGGGAAUUGCGCUUGUGACUGCAGCGCUGGAGUGCGGCAGAGGGGGAUGGAAUUCCGCGUGUAGCAGUGAAAUGCGUAGAUAUGCGGAGGAACACCGAUGGCGAAGGCAAUCCCCUGGGCCUGCACUGACGCUCAUGCACGAAAGCGUGGGGAGCAAACAGGAUUAGAAACCCCUGUAGUCC